GCGAAUUUCACAAUGACAAGUGGAAAAAGUCGCCGAUUCCCCCAGCGCUGCCAUAAGGAGACGUUACAGAUAGAGAACACUGCAUCCUCUGUUCCUGACGAACGGGCAGCUUGCUACCCGAAGGCACUGGUCCGAGCAAGCGCCAAGAAGCCUGUGCAUAUGCAAACCAGCUACUGAUGGAGUAGGAUUUAAAAAGUCUGCAGAGAGAUUUGUUGGUGGGGGGGAAGGAAGCAGAAGGAGCUGUGGGAGAAAGCCUGCCACCAUUUUUCCCCCACUUCAAAGUUAAAAUGAGAGGUCUGAUGCCAUUUCCAGGUCUGAUGCCAAGGUGCUGAGCACAAGUGAGCGGUGACUUUUUUGGGGUGAGGAUCCGAGGUCCCUUCACCUCCUGCAAGACUGGAGGUUGUCAUUGCUGAAAGGGGAAUGCAGAAUUGUCUGAUGGGGGUACAAUGGGUACAGCUCUCCCCCAUCUCAGCGCCCCAAGUGUGGGACUACACAGCUGAUGUUGAUGUGCUUUCCUCACCUUGGCUCUCCUGGGAGCCCCUCCUGCCUUACUCAGCUCCCACUCCACCACCAAGCCACGUAACGCAUAAAAAAGAAGUCUUCAUGAUGCACAAAGCAGAGGAAAUCACGGGGAAAGACUCUGCAAAGCAUGCUUUUUUUAUUAGAGGUCAAGAAUUUCACGACCUAGUGGAAGUCAUGAACAAUACAGGACCAGGCAUUUGUAAUAGUUGGUGCCUGCUCUGUAUAGCUGCUGCUGCUUCUAAUAUCCCCAGAUAAAUUCUUCUGUGACUAAUCUCUUGGAAAGAAAAACAUAAAGAAGCUGUCACAUGAAACGAGAUGAUUUUGAUGUUUGUUUUGUGUUUAUAAACAUAAAUUCUGCCUCUUGGGCUGUGUAAUAUGCUUUAUCUAAAACCCUGUUAGUCUCUGGCUAGGAAAAUAUUUGUUCGCUUUCUGUCCUUGUCCCAUCCCUCCAUACUCCUCCAAAAGCCAGCCAAGAUGUCCUUAUCCUUCCUUUUGGACUCAGGCAAACAUCUGCAUGUUUUGCUGGAGAUCUGGAGGUACAAAGUCUUAAA